UAUUGUCUGACCAUAACAUUUGAAACUGCACUAGAAUGAAGCAGGGCUGCACAUCUACGGCCCUCUUUCCUACGGUUCUUCUUCUUUUAUCUAAUGGAGGCACACUGUGAAAGCUGAAAUACUUUCCAUCCAGUAUUAUGAAUGCAAAGCGAACCCCACGGACAAAAAAAUACACGAAAAGGACUGCAGCGGACUUUUUUUCUGGUACUUUAAUGAAGGUUUAAGUUGGCCUUUCGACCUCGCUGCAGAAACGUUUGUUCCCUCCUACUACGAAGGACUAAAGCCUCGCAUGAUCAAGUUUGAUGUAAACGGUCUCGAAAAGGAGAUUCCAACAAUGUCGUGGGGUCACCAAACUGCUGUUAAAGGCACAAAGAAGUACCACGUGACUUGCAAGUUUGCCAUAAAGCUAAACUUCUAUGGAUUUUUUGUGUACGGUCUAUCAUACAAGGACCGACAAGUAAGAUGGGUUGCUGUCAACAUCACUGAACUCGCGGACUACUCCGAAAGGCUUCACGUAGAAAACGGUAAACUAGCGUACACCGCGACAGGCACCUUUGGUGAGGAGAUAUGGUGCCAUAAAUGUUCAAGUAAAAAAACUUGAAU
rnacentral:misc_RNA from 1 species